rnacentral:lncRNA from 1 species
GUGUAUUGUUUCUUUCUGGUUUAACUAUCAGUUGGAACCCAGGAAGCUGAGAGCCCUGGGUCAGCAUCUAGGGAUAUGGUGUUUACCAGGCAGGAGCAGGUGGGCUGGUGGCUUCUCUUGAAAAUGUUGGUGCCUCUGAACCACUGAUAAAGAAAGAACACAAGGGAGGGGGGCCCUUCCUGAGAGGUCAAUUCCAGUCAGCCUGUGCAAUGGGGUGAAGUGUGUCAAGGGGAAACGUGACCAUGAGCUCACAGACAUUUUAUGAGACCCACAGAUGCCUGAAGCCACAGAUGACACCAAGCCUACAUACAGUUUUCCCUCUACACACAUGCCUAUGACUGUUUACCCUUUCUAUAAAACCUGAGAGUCCUAGACAGCCCCUGAAGAGAUGGCUAAGAACAUGGUGCCCUCGUCUUCCUGGGGUAGCUUCACUGAUCAAAGUUCCUUUCCUGCUUUUCAUCAUGA